AAGAAUUAUUAGAAAGAUGAAUAUGUUCUAAGUUAUAAAGUUUUUUAUUUAUCUGAAAUUAUACUAUGAGUUCAAAAGAAAUUACAUUAUCAAAACUUGCCAUUAAAAAAAAGUUACAAAACUAUUAAAAAUAUAAGUUGUGUGCACUUCCUCUCUAGCCUCAUAGCCUCACAGACCUUGAGGGGGGAGGAGGUCCCCUCUUCUCUCUUCCUCCCUUUAUUUCGCUGCUUUGAUACACAAAUCCCCCUCCUACUUUUCCCUCUCUUGUCCUCUCAUCUUCUUCCCACUCCAUCUCCCCUCACUUCUUAACCGCCCAUCCUCUCACCUUCCCUCUCUUAUCUUUUUGUUUUUUGUUUUUUUGCAAAUUUAGGGUUCCACCUUUUGAUUUGUUUGGGGACCACGUAGAUGCCUUUGUUGGUUUUGUUGAAUCAUUUUUCAGCUCUUCGGUUCCAGCUCUUGAUUUAGUUCGUGUGUUUUAGUUUUUGUUUGUAAUAAGUGUAUCAACUCUUUUUGAGUUUGUUGCGUGUUUGUAGUCUUUACUUAUAAUUUUUUACCUGUGAAGGUUUAAACAUUGUAGUUUGCAAUUGUAAUUUUGUACGUUGUGGUUUUAUGUCGGAAUUUCUUUGGCCUUUUAUGACUAUGUGUGGAGGUACACUUGUGCGUCGAAUAUUAUCAAUGAAGACCUCCGUAUUUGGAUAACUCUUUGUAGUUACUACGUUUUUGUAUAUUUAUUUAUAUUCAACGCAAAAAUGUACCUCCACACAUAUUUAUUUGUAUUCAUGCGUGUUUGAAUAACCCUUUGUAGUUACUGCCUUAAUUAUUUCUAUAUUUAUUUUGAUGUACACAUAUGUUUUAUAGUAAUAUUUAAUCAGGUGCUCAAUCUCUAUCUAUUAUAAAAGUCAAAACGGAAAACAUACAAAAUUGCAGCAUAUAUAUAUAAAAGUUGGGCAACGUAGUCUUUUGGGUAAUCAGAAGGAUAGAAAAUACAAACAAACGUUCCAACAAGGGCGGGCGGAAUGAUGAAGAAGCAAAGCUUGGUGCGUGGAGUGUUGGGCGGUGAUCAGACUGCUGCAGCUUGGUGCGUGGAGUGUUGGGCGGUGAUCAGACUGCUGCCAGCUGUAUAAAAUCUUGUGUGGGGCAGCUUCUUCUGUCACUUGAUGUGGUGCCAAUUAGUUCAACAUUUCAGUUAACUUGUAUUCAA
rnacentral:lncRNA from 1 species